AGCAGUGGGGAAUUUUGCGCAAUGGGGGCAACCCUGACGCAGCAACGCCGCGUGGAGGAUGAAGGGCUUCGGCUCGUAAACUCCUUUCGACCGGGACGAGCAGAUGACGGUACCGGUGGAAGAAGCCCCGGCUAACUACGUGCCAGCAGCCGCGGUAAUACGUAGGGGGCGAGCGUUGUUCGGAAUUAUUGGGCGUAAAGCGCGUGUAGGCGGUUCGGUAAGGCGGGUGUGAAAACCCAGGGCUCAACCCUGGGCCGGCAUCCGCGACUGCCGGGCUGGAGUGCGGGAGGGGAGAGCGGAAUUCCUGGUGUAGCGGUGAAAUGCGUAGAUAUCAGGAGGAACACCGGUGGCGAAGGCGGCUCUCUGGACCGUGACUGACGCUGAGACGCGAAAGCUAGGGGAGCGAAC
rnacentral:rRNA from 1 species